rnacentral:rRNA from 1 species
GAUGAACGCUGGCGGCGUGCCUAAUACAUGCAAGUCGAGCGAACAGACGAGGAGCUUGCUCCUCUGACGUUAGCGGCGGACGGGUGAGUAACACGUGGAUAACCUACCUAUAAGACUGGGAUAACUUCGGGAAACCGGAGCUAAUACCGGAUAAUAUAUUGAACCGCAUGGUUCAAUAGUGAAAGACGGUUUUGCUGUCACUUAUAGAUGGAUCCGCGCCGCAUUAGCUAGUUGGUAAGGUAACGGCUUACCAAGGCUACGAUGCGUAGCCGACCUGAGAGGGUGAUCGGCCACACUGGAACUGAGACACGGUCCAGACUCCUACGGGAGGCAGCAGUGGGGAAUCUUCCGCAAUGGGCGAAAGCCUGACGGAGCAACGCCGCGUGAGUGAUGAAGGUCUUCGGAUCGUAAAACUCUGUUAUUAGGGAAGAACAAAUGUGUAAGUAACUAUGCACGUCUUGACGGUACCUAAUCAGAAAGCCACGGCUAACUACGUG